rnacentral:rRNA from 1 species
UGAGGAAGUAAAAGUCGUAACAAGGUCUCCGUAGGUGAACCUGCGGAGGGAUCAUUACACAAAUAUGAAGGCGGGCUGGAACCUCUCGGGGUUACAGCCUUGCUGAAUUAUUCACCCUUGUCUUUUGCGUACUUCUUGUUUCCUUGGUGGGUUCGCCCACCACUAGGACAAACAUAAACCUUUUGUAAUUGCAAUCAGCGUCAGUAACAAAUUAAUAAUUACAACUUUCAACAACGGAUCUCUUGGUUCUGGCAUCGAUGAAGAACGCAGCGAAAUGCGAUAAGUAGUGUGAAUUGCAGAAUUCAGUGAAUCAUCGAAUCUUUGAACGCACAUUGCGCCCUUUGGUAUUCCAAAGGGCAUGCCUGUUCGAGCGUCAUUUGUACCCUCAAGCUUUGCUUGGUGUUGGGCGUCUUGUCUCUAGCUUUGCUGGAGACUCGCCUUAAAGUAAUUGGCAGCCGGCCUACUGGUUUCGGAGCGCAGCACAAGUCGCACUCUCUAUCAGCAAAGGUCUAGCAUCCAUUAAGCCUUUUUUCAACUUUUGACCUCGGAUCAGGUAGGGAUACCCGCUGAACUUAAGCAUAUCAAUAAGCGGAGGAAAAGAAACCAACAGGGAUUGCCCUAGUAACGGCGAGUGAAGCGGCAACAGCUCAAAUUUGAAAUCUGGCUCUUUUAGAGUCCGAGUUGUAAUUUGCAGAGGGCGCUUUGGCUUUGGCAGCGGUCCAAGUUCCUUGGAACAGGACGUCACAGAGGGUGAGAAUCCCGUACGUGGUCGCUGGCUAUUGCCGUGUAAAGCCCCUUCGACGAGUCGAGUUGUUUGGGAAUGCAGCUCUAAAUGGGAGGUACAUUUCUUCUAAAGCUAAAUAUUGGCCAGAGACCGAUAGCGCACAAGUAGAGUGAUCGAAAGAUGAAAAGCACUUUGGAAAGAGAGUCAAACAGCACGUGAAAUUGUUGAAAGGGAAGCGCUUGCAGCCAGACUUGCUUACAGUUGCUCAUCCGGGGUUUUUACCCGGUG